CCUACGGGAGGCAGCAGUGAGGAAUAUUGGUCAAUGGGCGCGAGCCUGAACCAGCCAAGUCGCGUGAGGGAAGACGGUCCUAUGGAUUGUAAACCUCUUUUGUCGGGGAGCAAAAGACGCCACGCGUGGCGUUCCGAGAGUACCCGAAGAAAAAGCAGCGGCUAACUCCGUGCCAGCAGCCGCGGUAAUACGGAGGAUGCGAGCGUUAUCCGGAUUUAUUGGGUUUAAAGGGUGCGCAGGCGGAAGAUCAAGGCAGCGGUAAAAUUGAGAGGCUCAACCUCUUCGAGCCGUUGAAACUGGUGUUCUUGAGUGAGUGAGAAGUAUGCGGAAUGCGUGGUGUAGCGGUGAAAUGCAUAGAUAUCACGCAGAACUCCGAUUGCGAAGGCAGCAUACCGGCGCUCAACUGACGCUCAUGCACGAAAGUGUGGGUAUCGAACAGGAUUAGAUACCCUAGUAGUC
rnacentral:rRNA from 1 species